rnacentral:rRNA from 1 species
UACGUAGGGUGCGAGCGUUGUCCGGAUUUAUUGGGCGUAAAGGGCUCGUAGGCGGUUUGUCGCGUCGGGAGUGAAAACACACAGCUUAACUGUGUGCUUGCUUCCGAUACGGGCAGACUAGAGGUAUGCAGGGGAGAACGGAAUUCCUGGUGUAGCGGUGAAAUGCGCAGAUAUCAGGAGGAACACCGGUGGCGAAGGCGGUUCUCUGGGCAUUACCUGACGCUGAGGAGCGAAAGUGUGGGGAGCGAACAGG